ACAAAAAAACAUCAAAGAACAGUCUUUCAACGUUAUUUAUUCUGUGCAUCUUUUCAUUUUUCUUCAGUAAAGUCCUCAGACAUACAGCUCAGCACACCAAAAGCUAAAGACCUCAUAAAACAAACAAAAACUCAGAAUUCCUGCAUCUGAACCACCACUGACAUCACAGUAGCUUCAGUUUUAUGUAAUUUCACUCACACAUUCUAGAGUUUUUCCUGUUUGGGAUUGAAUCCGCAGUUGAUGUAUUUGGAUUUUCUAUCUUGUUUUCUUUUAUCUGAGCCACAUCAUCAUUCCUGAGUUGUAAUUUCUGUUUCAUGAGGACUUUUUUUUGCUUCUGUCUUCACAGAUUCUAUGCACAUUUGGACUAUAUAGAUGUCAGCAUUUCAUUUAAAGCAGCAUCUGCAGUGAUUCACAAGGGUGUGUAGCAGUGGAGAAGGAAGCAGCAGCUGAAGUGCGUUAGGGUUUCCUGCAGGAGAGAGGAGGGAUGGUGGCAUUGUCAUCACAGCAGGCAUUGUUGUUUGGCAGGUCCACCACCAAUGCAAUGACAGCUGUGGAUUACCUGAAACAGAGGACUCGAACCUGCAGCCUCUGAGUUGCUAACCGUUUCUCCAUCUCACUGAGCUAUUCCUCCACACCCCUGCACAUUGACUUUUUGUGUCUGGGUCUCGUUGACCCCCACCGCAGUCCCUGUUGCAGUGGGUCCUUUCGGGCUCCUGGAAUCGAACCCACAUCAUCAGUGUGUGAAGCUAUAUACGAGAUGCAUGUGCUGUACCACUACACUACCAAGCCGUGUGACAAUCGGAGCUUUUCUGUUGUGCUUUUGGUCAAACCUUUCAGUCCAGUUUCUUACUAUAAUAAGUUAGUAGAGAAAGUGUCUUUAUACUUACAUCGGCUCUUGGGUCAGAUAAUUCAAACUGCUUAGUACAGAAAGUGUCUCAAUGUAGAACUUAAUACCAAUGUAGAACAUAAUACUAAUGUACUACUUGAAGGAACUAAUAUACUUGAUUUUGAACUUCUUUAAUACACUUACAUACGAUUAAAAGUAGUACAAAAUCAAGUAUCUUAGUAUCAUUUAAUAGUAUGUAAGAGUAUUUCAAGUAGUAUAAAAUUAAUUAUUUUUUAAUCUUUUUUCCCCCUUCUCCCCCCUUCUCCCUCCCCCCUUCUCCCCCUUCUCUUUCUCCCUCCCCCCCUCUCCCUCUCUCCCUCCCCUUCUCUCUCCCCCUUUUUUCCUUUCUUCCUUCCUUCCUUCCUUUUCAUUCCCGUGUAAAAAUAAAAUUAAUUAUUUUUAAAUUUUUUUUCCCCCUUCUCUCCCCCCCCCUCUCCCUCCCCCCCCCUCUCUCCCCCCCUUCUCUCUCCCUCCAGACCUCCGCCCCUUAGGUCUUUUUGUGUCUCUGACUCUUUGACUCCUACUGCACUCUCUCUUGCAGUGGGUCCUUUCAGGCUCUGCCUGCCUGCUCUGGGAUUCAAAUACUGCUGUGUAUAAUGCUUGACUGUUAAUGAUGUAAUGUCCCAUCUAAAGGUGUAAAUUUAACUGAGAAUAAUGCAAUUUCACAUUUCAUUUACAGUGUUUUUUAGGUUUUAGCAAUGCUAUUGCUAAUAGUUGAAUUCGACCUAUCAGUAGUGUCAGGCAGCAUCGGGAUACUUUUAGAAUAGUUCUGUUUUUGUACUUAUUUCAGAGCAAACAUGCCCCCAGAAAUGGUUAAAAUUGAAGGCUUUAAAGCCUCUAUCAGGAUUUACAUCUAUUUUAUGCCAGUUUUCCUGUCUUUGCUGAUGCUGCAUUGAAAGUUUCACAGUUUAAGGUUCACUUUGUCUAAAAUCACAUCUUAGAUUACAUGAAUGUCUGCUUGUUCAAUAACCUGCCAGAAAACAGACCUGUUCAAGGAACACUUUUCACUUUACUCCUUUACUUUUCUUCCCUGACCACAUGUGUUUUGACACAUUCUGCUCAGUAAAGAGAUAGACCACAAUUUAACAUGUCAUAUUGUUCCUUUAACGUCAGGAGGGAAAAAAGUAACUACAACUGUGCAAUAGACUAAAGCAAUGUAGGCAAACAUCACUCACCUUGUGAAUCACUGCAGAUGCUGCUUUAAAUGAAAUGCUGACAUCUAUAUAGUCCAAAUGUGCAUAGAAUCUGUGAAGACAGAAGCAAAAAAAAGUCCUCAUGGAACAGAAAUUACAACUCAGGAAUGAUGAUGUGGCUCAGAUAAAAGAAAACAAGAUAGAAAAUCCAAAUACAUCAAUUUCAUGUCCAAUAUUUCAUUAUCAUGUGUGGCAUUUAUUCUAACUUUUCUAUUUUACAGCAUUGUUGGAGCUGUGUUUAAUUUUCAGUCAUGUCUCAUUCUUGUAGCUUAUUGCUUUUCUACUAGAUAUUUUGUUUUCUGAGCCAUGUCUGCAAAAUUAAUAAUGUUUUAUCUUAUCCUAACUUGUGAAAAAUACAGACAGUAUGUCGGUCUAUAAUUUUAUUUAGCAGAUGCUUUUAUCCAAGACACAUCUGAGAGUAGAUCCAACACAAGCAAUGAUCUAAUCAGGAGAAAAAUCAACUUCAUGUGUUUUUCAAGGGAGGUUCUGUGCCUCAGUGCUGAUGAGAGGAUGAGCUGCAGCUGCGCUGGAUGAGUUGAAUGAGCUGUGGAGGUCCAGCUCGUUUGUCAUCUCCCGCUUAAAAGGCCGGCAAUGCGACUAUGCCGAUCAUUCGCACUCUUCCUCCGAAGCUGUGCGGAUCAUUCCUCCUGUCCAGUCUCUCCGGAGACCGAGCAGCUCGCAGCCGUCCUCCGACCAGGUGGAGUCCUCCUUCUUCUUUCUCGUGUGGCACAGUGAGCGAGAGACAGGAAACGGGGGAAAAGAGUUGGACAAGACAUGCAGCAGAGUGCCGCGACCGGGUAUCGAACCCGAGCCGCUGCGUCGGUGAACAACUCCCGUACACGGGUCGUACGCUUAACGCAUUGAACUAUACGGGAGCCGGGUAAGAAGCCGUUUUUGAUUUGUCAGCGUAGUUUAUGAAUAAAACAAAAUGUGGAUCGUUAUGAUCAUGCUUCAACUGUCAAACACGUUUGGUAAUUUAGCACAUGGCAUUUCAACCUAAAUAAAUGCCUGAUUGUCUGCGCCUGCCAGAAAAUGUUCCCCCCCCCUCUAUA